rnacentral:rRNA from 1 species
GACGAACGCUGGCGGCGUGCCUAAUACAUGCAAGUCGAACGCUUCUUUCCUCCCGAGUGCUUGCACUCAAUUGGAAAGAGGAGUGGCGGACGGGUGAGUAACACGUGGGUAACCUACCCAUCAGAGGGGGAUAACACUUGGAAACAGGUGCUAAUACCGCAUAACAGUUUAUGCCGCAUGGCAUAAGAGUGAAAGGCGCUUUCGGGUGUCGCUGAUGGAUGGACCCGCGGUGCAUUAGCUAGUUGGUGAGGUAACGGCUCACCAAGGCCACGAUGCAUAGCCGACCUGAGAGGGUGAUCGGCCACACUGGGACUGAGACACGGCCCAGACUCCUACGGGAGGCAGCAGUAGGGAAUCUUCGGCAAUGGACGAAAGUCUGACCGAGCAACGCCGCGUGAGUGAAGAAGGUUUUCGGAUCGUAAAACUCUGUUGUUAGAGAAGAACAAGGACGUUAGUAACUGAACGUCCCCUGACGGUAUCUAACCAGAAAGCCACGGCUAACUACGUGCCAGCAGCCGCGGUAAUACGUAGGUGGCAAGCGUUGUCCGGAUUUAUUGGGCGUAAAGCGAGCGCAGGCGGUUUCUUAAGUCUGAUGUGAAAGCCCCCGGCUCAACCGGGGAGGGUCAUUGGAAACUGGGAGACUUGAGUGCAGAAGAGGAGAGUGGAAUUCCAUGUGUAGCGGUGAAAUGCGUAGAUAUAUGGAGGAACACCAGUGGCGAAGGCGGCUCUCUGGUCUGUAACUGACGCUGAGGCUCGAAAGCGUGUGGAGCAAACAGGAUUAGAUACCCUGGUAGUCCACGCCGUAAACGAUGAGUGCUAAGUGUUGGAGGGUUUCCGCCCUUCAGUGCUGCAGCAAACGCAUUAAGCACUCCGCUGGGGAGUACGACCGCAAGGUUGAAACUCAAAGGAAUUGACGGGGGCCCGCACAAGCGGUGGAGCAUGUGGUUUAAUUCGAAGCAACGCGAAGAACCUUACCAGGUCUUGACAUCCUUUGACCACUCUAGAGAUAGAGCUUUCCCUUCGGGGACAAAGUGACAGGUGGUGCAUGGUUGUCGUCAGCUCGUGUCGUGAGAUGUUGGGUUAAGUCCCGCAACGAGCGCAACCCUUAUUGUUAGUUGCCAUCAUUUAGUUGGGCACUCUAGCGAGACUGCCGGUGACAAACCGGAGGAAGGUGGGGAUGACGUCAAAUCAUCAUGCCCCUUAUGACCUGGGCUACACACGUGCUACAAUGGGAAGUACAACGAGUCGCUAGACCGCGAGGUCAUGCAAAUCUCUUAAAGCUUCUCUCAGUUCGGAUUGCAGGCUGCAACUCGCCUGCAUGAAGCCGGAAUCGCUAGUAAUCGCGGAUCAGCACGCCGCGGUGAAUACGUUCCCGGGCCUUGUACACACCGCCCGUCACACCACGAGAGUUUGUAACACCCGAAGUCGGUGAGGUAACCUUUUUGGAGCCAGCCGCCUAAGGUGGGAUAGAUGAUUGGGGUG